rnacentral:rRNA from 1 species
UGGUGGAGUGAUUUGUCUGGUUAAUUCCGUUAACGAACGAGACCUCGACCUGCUAACUAGUGCACACUCCUUCGGGAGUGCUCUGUGCUUCUUAGAGGGACUGUCGGAUUUUAGCCGAAGGAAGUUCGAGGCAAUAACA